rnacentral:rRNA from 1 species
GAUGAACGCUGGCGGCGCGCCUAACACAUACAAGUCGAACGAUUAAAGCACCUUCGGGUGUGUAUAAAGUGGCGAACGGCUGAGUAACACGUGGGCAACCUGCCCCUUUCAUUGGGAUAGCCACGGGAAACCGUGGAUAAUACCGAAUACUUCGAGACUUCCGCAUGGAAGACUCGAGAAAGCUCCGGCGGAGAGGGAUGGGCCCGCGGCCUGUUAGCUUGUUGGUGGGGUAGCGGCCUACCAAGGCAAUGAUGGGUAGCUGGGUUGAGAGACCGACCAGCCAGAUUGGGACUGAGACACGGCCCAGACUCCUACGGGAGGCAGCAGUGGGGAAUCUUGCACAAUGGGCGAAAGCCUGAUGCAGCGACGCCGCGUGCGGGAUGAAGGCCUUCGGGUUGUAAACCGCUUUCAGCAGGGACGAGGCGAAAGUGACGGUACCUGCAGAAGAAGCCCCGGCUAACUACGUG